GCAUGAACUGUUUCUCCUCUGCCAUGCCACCCUGCCUUGGAGUCAGCCAACUAUGGACCGAGACCGCUACAAACUGUGGCCUACGAUACGCCUGUUCUCCUUUAACUUUGGGUGUGGGUAUAUCAUCUCAGUAAUGAGAAAACCCCAGGCCCUGAGCUGGAGAAGUCGUGUUCAAGUGGAAGCACUGGAAAAUGGAAUCCUAAGAUUUUCCUUCCUAACUGCCAUCUAGGGAUCAUAGAGUUACCAGGGAUCCCCUCAC
rnacentral:lncRNA from 1 species